rnacentral:rRNA from 1 species
UACGUAGGGGGCAAGCGUUGUCCGGAAUUAUUGGGCGUAAAGAGCGUGUAGGCGGCCAAGCAGGUCCGUUGUGAAAACUGGAGGCUUAACCUCCAGACGUCGACGGAAACCGCGCGGCUAGAGUCCGGAAGAGGAGAGUGGAAUUCCUGGUGUAGCGGUGAAAUGCGCAGAUAUCAGGAAGAACACCAAUGGCGAAGGCAGCUCUCUGGGACGGUACUGACGCUGAGACGCGAAAGCGUGGGGAGCGAACAGG